rnacentral:rRNA from 1 species
GAUGAACGCUAGCGGCAGGCUUAAUACAUGCAAGUCGAGGGGCAGCAUGAUUGUAGCAAUACAAUUGAUGGCGACCGGCAAACGGGUGCGGAGCACGUACACAACCUUCCAAUAAGUGGGGAAUAGCCCAGAGAAAUUUGGAUUAAUACCCCGUAACAUAACGAUGUGGCAUCACAUUGUUAUUAUAGAUUUUUCGCUUAUUGAUGGGUGUGCGGCUGAUUAGAUAGUUGGCGGGGUAACGGCCCACCAAGUCUACGAUCAGUAGCUGAUGUGAGAGCAUGAUCAGCCACACGGGCACUGAGACACGGGCCCGACUCCUACGGGAGGCAGCAGUAAGGAAUAUUGGACAAUGGACGCAAGUCUGAUCCAGCCAUGCCGCGUGAAGGAUUAAGGUCCUCUGGAUUGUAAACUUCUUUUAUAAGGGACGAAAAAAGGCUUUUCUAAGUCGUCUGACGGUACCUUAUGAAUAAGCACCGGCUAUCUCCGUGCCAGCAGCCGCCGUAAAAC